rnacentral:rRNA from 2 species
UACGGAGGGUGCAAGCGUUAUCCGGAUUCACUGGGUUUAAAGGGAGCGUAGGUGGGUUGGUAAGUCAGUGGUGAAAUCCCCGAGCUUAACUUGGGAACUGCCAUUGAUACUAUCAGUCUUGAAUACCGUGGAGGUCAGCGGAAUAUGUCAUGUAGCGGUGAAAUGCUUAGAUAUGACAUAGAACACCAAUUGCGAAGGCAGCUGGCUACACGAAUAUUGACACUGAGGCUCGAAAGCGUGGGGAUCAAACAGG